UAAACUAGGAUUAGAUACCCUAUUAUUCUAAAUUAAAAUGAAAUAUAUUAAAUAUUAAAUAGUAAAACAUUAAAUUUAAAUAAUUUGGCGGUAUUUUAGAAAGUUAGAGGAACCUGUUAAGUAAAUGAUAAUCCACGAUAGGGGGAUCCUAAUAUAUUUUUAUAUAUUGUUGUAUUAAUAUUAAUUUAGAAGAGUUUAAUAAAGAUUCAUAAUAUUGAGUGAAUUCAAAUCAAAAUGUAGAAUUGUUAGGUUUAAAUGGGUUACAAUUUAUUUUAUAAAUUGGAAUUUAAUUUUUAAUUAAUUAAAUAAAAAAGGAUUUAAUAGUAAAUUUAUAAAAUUUUAUAAUUUGAAUUAAAAAUAAAAUAUGUACAAAUUGCCGUCAUUUUCA
rnacentral:rRNA from 1 species